UUCAAAGGGGCUAAGGUUAGAAUAUAUGGUUCCAGUGUAGCUGAUGAGGAAUGAUCAGGUGGUGGUACUUAAAAGUUGGUGCCUGGCCAUUGUGGCCUAAUCACAGCCAUCCAGGGGGGUGCAGUUGGGUAGGCCUCACCAUUGCUUUCCAUGUGCCUGGGUGGUUGGGGCCUAUGCAGUGUGAUGUAGUAUGACCACUGUCCUUAACUCCUCAUUUUAACCUACCUACUACAGAGGUCCAGGUUUCUGGUGCUAGCUGCAGCGCUGUGUUGGACACCCAAUUUCUAUCUGGCCUUGGGACGGUGCAAGAAAGUCGUGGCUUGUUAAUUCAGAAACUCAAUUUCCAGCAAGAGUCCAUCCCAUUUGUAACUUGUAUGGACAUGGAGGUUCCCUUGGGACCGAUGAUAUAGAUUGGUACUAUUUCUUAUACCUGUUGUCCACCUGGGGUAGCUGGUAGGCAAUAACUUGUUCAGGGCAGUAGGGGUCUUUUGAGAUAGAGAUCUCUUUGAGAUAUGACAUGUGAGGUGCAUGGGCUGUGUGCUCUUAUUGUCAUUCACUAUGGAGUACGCUAGCCCCAGCUAUUUCCUUGAUAUCAGAUUCAACACAAUCAAGGGUUUGUCAGGCCUGUCUCAUUGAAUGGCAUGGCUGGCUGACCACCUCUUAAGAGGACAAGACCUCCAAGCAAAGAAACCAAGCUGGUUUUGGUUGGACUCACACAAUAAAUUGAAUUGAAUUGAAUUUAUUUGAGCUGUGGCUGGCUGUGAGAUACAUUUCUAUUCAAACCUUUGGCGUAGGACAACCUGCCCUGGUCUGGUCAGGCAGGGCACAGUGGGCAGCUUGCGUGGGGGUACAGCCACUGGCCACCACUCCGCUCCUUGUGUUAGAUGAUGUCCUUUGGAGAUUAUUAGUGCUUCUUUAUCUUGCAUUAGCUAGGCAUAUGGGAAGCACCUCUUGCUGUUGCAGGAUUGGAGCACAGAGCAUUAAGAUGAUCUGUUUUCUUAUAACUUUAGGGGCAGAUCUGUAUCAGAUUCAGUAAACUAUCGGCGAUAAAGCCAUCAAUGUCGCUUUGCUUGCUCGUUCAGAGACAGGCAUUCGGUCACAUGGUUUUGAAUGGCUAGAUUCAUUGUGUGUGGGUGCGUGCUCACUAAUAAUGUGUGUGAUUAUGUCAACUAACAUUGUUAUUCAGUUUGUCAGCCUUUGGAGAAACCGGAGGGGGCGUUUGUUGUGUCAGCAGGUCCUGUCCAGAAUCAAAUCAUAACGUGCCUACACUUGGUUGUAAUCUCACGUGGCCAUGGCAUUUUUCUUCCGGCCUGCUGCUCUAUGCAGCUGGAGAGCUCCAAGUUCCCAAACGCCAGAAUAUUCCAACACUAGAUUGGAAAUAGGAUCAAGACUGGACCUGCGCACGGACCAUCUCUCCUACAAUUUCCAACAAGCUCGUGAAUGAGAUGAAUCAGAUUUUUGUGACCCCAAUUCCUUCUCCAUUACUCUGCUGCAGCCGAUCUCUGGGAUUGGAUUCUUCCCGUGCGCACUGAAGACUGACGUGGUAGGGAGAAGGCCUGGCCAGAAACUGGUAUGCUUUCGGAUGGCUUUUCACCCUCGCAGGGCCUGCAUGGUGUCAUGCAUGCUGGUACUCGCUUUCGGUCAGCAUAAAGUUGGUCUUUGGUGAAGGGAUACAAAAAGUGAAGCAAGGGCUCCUGAUUACCCCGAGGAUGAACAUACAUCUGAAAUAGUUUGGAACAAACGAUUAACCCAGACUACCCUACCGGUGAAGAAUAUAGCUGUUGUGAAGAAAUACAUUCACAAACGAGAUUAGCCCAUGCAUUCUAUUUCUAGAUACUAUUAUCAGCCAAGGAAUUAUCAUGAAGAUGCUGAGAGAAACACCUCUUCAUGUUAAGAGUGAGAACUUUUGUCAUGGCAUUUAUUGAUCAGGCUCAA